rnacentral:rRNA from 1 species
GUGAGGAAUAUUGGUCAAUGGGCGAGAGCCUGAACCAGCCAAGUCGCGUGAAGGAUGAAGGUUUUAUGAAUUGUAAACUUCUUUUGCAGGGGAAUAAAGUACGGUACGUGUACCGUUUUGUAUGUACUCUGCGAAUAAGGAUCGGCUAACUCCGUGCCAGCAGCCGCGGUAAUACGGAGGAUCCAAGCGUUAUCCGGAUUUAUUGGGUUUAAAGGGUGCGCAGGCGGGUUGAUAAGUCAGCGGUGAAAGUUUGCAGCUUAACUGUAAAAUUGCCGUUGAAACUGUCGAUCUUGAGUGCAAAUGAGGUAAGCGGAAUGUGUUGUGUAGCGGUGAAAUGCUUAGAUAUAACACAGAACACCGAUUGCGAAGGCAGCUUACUGGGAUGCAACUGACGCUCAUGCACGAAAGCGUGGGGAUCAAACAGGAUUAGAUACCCGUGUAGUCC